AACUUUUGGCAUUUGAUCUCUUGUCUCUCCCAUCGAUGAAGAACGCAGCGAAAUGCGAUAACUAAUGUGAAUUGCAGAAUUCAGUGAAUCAUCGAGUCCUUGAACGCACCUUGCGCCCUUUGGUUUUCCGAAGGGCAUGCCUGUUUGAGUGUCAUUAAAUUCUCAGCCUUGAGCUUUUGCGAGCUUCAAGGCUUGGAUGUGAGGGCUUGCUGGCUUCCUUCAGUGGAUUGGUCUGCUCCCUUUAAAUGCAUUAGUGGGAUCCUUUGUGGAGCGUCACUUGGUGUGAUAAUUAUCUACGCCUCCUGACCGAAGCAAGCCUUAUGGGAACCUGCUUAUAACCGUCCUUCAAGGACAAUUUAUUGACUAUUUGACCUCAAAUCAGGUAGGACUACCCGCUGAACUUAAGCAUAUCAAUAAGCGGAGGCU
rnacentral:misc_RNA from 1 species